CAGAUUUGCGCGCGCAGGCGCAUAGCUUAACUAUUACGACCCUGCACGAUCUGCGUUUCUUUUACUUUGCGACAGGAGUCCCCAUCCGAUUUGUCUCGCGCACGCGCUCUCUGCUUAAUUAAAAUUCAUUUCACGACGCUGUCCGAUUUGUUCUGCGCAUGUCCAAUGUUUUACGACACACGAGAAAAAAAGUUACCACGGGAUUUUAAUUUCUCGGUCUGCAUUAACAAAUAGAACUUUCGCCAUUCGAGUGAGAAGGAGAAAGAAGAACGCUGUAGAGAAUAGGAGCAUAUUGAAUUUUUCUCCUGGCAGAAGAAUAAUUUUCACUUCUUGAAAAAAUGAAGACUUUUCAAUUUUACAACGACUUGAAAGAAUAUCUUUUACGGGAAGAAUUUAGCAACAAUUUAACGGUCAGAGAGCGAAGUGAAAUACGACGUGUGUCCGUGAAUUUUAUGAUUAAAGUCCAUCAUCCAUGCCCUGGCUGCUCUACAGGGUGUAUCAGGACAGGAGGCAGAAGACUUAUUUCUUGGUGGCCCAGAAUACAGUAUCAGGUAAAAGUCAAGUCUAUGAAUGUUUGAAGUAAGUGUUUAAAUAUUUCUUGUUUAUUAUUUUUAUAUUUUACUUGCCUUAGUGAAGUGGAAGAAUUUAACUGAAAGAUAGGGCAGCAAUUAAAGAAGGAGAGAAUGCUGUGAUAUCUGUUGGAAUAGAAGAUGAUGCUACUGCCCAGUGCUUCCAGAAUCCUUCAUUUGAGUCUUGGGUCUGAAUCUACUGCGUCAUUGCCAAGUAUUCUGGGGUAAUGUAUCUUGUUUUGUUUACAUUUUGUUUUUCUCCAUAUUCCAAGCUCAUUUACUUGACCUUAGCUUUAAUAAACUGGAUGGCUGUCUCCUUCACAAUUGAUUUUAAAGUUCUAUACUAUUCAUUACAUAAAAAGCUCUGAACAAUUUAGUCCCUUCCAGUAUUUGGUACUGUCUCUCCCCCAACACUCCUCAGUGUAAUCUUUAAUCCACAACCACUAAUUUGCUUAUGAAAGAACUGGUGAAGCAGCUUGCACAUGUACACCAAAAAUGUAGAAUGCCGGCUAUAAAUGAAAAACCUUUCAAAUACUUUUAAAACUCAAUUUUUAAACUUCACCUCUGCUUAAUUCCCAUUUCUAUCAGUUUAUGAUUUACUUCUGGUUUAUGAAUGGAACUGCAUACACUGAAAGAUUUACACCAGAUAAUAACCAUUGUUUUUUUUUUUUUUUUGCUGUUUUUCUUUUUUUUGUCCAGUGAUGCCCUUUGCCAUACACCCUGGUCAAGUCUUGUGCUCCUGACUGUGGUGCUGAAGAAAGAAGAUUUCUGAAGACCCUCUUGAAGUGGAGCUGCAAUUGCAUUAACACCACAACAGUAUGCUGGCUGAGAAUGUGCACAGGGGCCUGGGGAGGCUGUGACCUUGUGACCUGAGACGUUGUUUUGUCAAUCAUCCUGACCAACUGGACCUUUAUGUGUUCUUCAACAGGGCCAUCUGACCAGCAGAUAUAUUUAAGGAGAAGGACCUUUCAAUUUUCCUCUUGUGUACUUUUAAAUUGUAUAUAUAUUUUUUUCGUUUUGAUAAAGUUAUAUAUAUUUGUUAAGCAGUUUAGCAGUUUGGGCUUUAUUAGUAUUAAAAUAUGUUAGAAGUUAUCUGUGGAAUAAUUUUAAUAAUCAAAAUAGCAAAACAAUGUAACUUUAAAUUUUCUGUGCUCUGGGUAAAAUAUGUUAAAGCUAUGUGGUGAUUUUUUUUACUUCUUUGGGUUUUUUUGUACAUUUGACAAAUGUUUUUUUUAGGUGCAUUGUUCUCACAUUGUUCACUUUUGUUGUUCUCAUAACAUUUAUUCAAUAAAAUUUGCAUGAAAA